GGGAGGGGCUGGGCUAACUCUCCUGUCUGCUGCAGGUGGAGAGAGAAAAGUGGGGAUAGGACAUUUUUGGCUCACCCACACCACCACAUGGCAGACAAGUGGCAGGGCUAGCUUACCUGUCCCCAUGCCACCAGGACCAAUUCAAUUGUGCUGCCCAAAUAAGACGGAGAUGAACAUCAUAUAAGCAAAUGAAAAGUUACUUGCUACCAUUAUUAGUCAUUGGAAAGACAAACUUGCACUGUGCUAAGAUAGCAUUGCAUGUCUACAUGGUUAACUUCAAUGAAUUAAUGCAAACAAGAACAGUACUCCAGCAAUGCCAAGUGUCAACAAACAGCUGAACCAUGAGGAUUUUACCUGUGCCUCAUUUAUGUGACUAUUGCAAAGAACCAGUGCUGACAGUGAAGUAGGAAUUUCUUAAAAAGCUGAAAUUUCUUAAAAACAUGUGACUCAGGUAUCACAAUCCUGAAGUUAUCCACUGGGUGCAAAUUAAUGUCUACAAAUAUAUUGAUAUUUGGAUGGUUUUGGUGUAUAUCAUAAUUCUCAACCCUGGAGACCUCCCAGACAUCAUUAAUCAAUGCAUGGACAAAUUGUAUCCCUCAAAUACUAUUUGACAUUUAAAAGGAAGAAAUUAUUGAUACACCUAACAUGGAUCAGCAUUAUCAUAACUGAAAGUCAGGCCAAGAACUCAAGUGACAAUCACAUAAUGACCACACUCACAAUGUAGUGGACUUUUGAAUUAUAAUUAUGCUUACUUGUGAAAAAUUCCUAAGAAUACUUUUAAGUGCUAAAAUUAUCUUAUGUAAACUUAGAUAAACCACCAAUUCACCAAAAUUCCUAGUAUAAACGAAUCUCUGGAUAAGUGCCUAUAUAAUGUGUCCCUGACCUAAUGGUUAUGAAAACUGCCUGAUCACUGAACUACUGUCUUGUACUUCUGUGAACAGCACCUGCUUGCUGCUGAUGUCUACAGCUGUUUUUUUGUACAUAUCAGAGUUGUACUGAUAACCUUUAAAAACUUGCACAAAUUGUAGAUUGUGGCUGCUUCCUAUUACUCCACCUGAAAUAUCCUCAUCAUAGUAAAGAUGAUAUGACCUA